GACGAACGCUGGCGGCGUGCUUAACACAUGCAAGUCGAACGGAAAGGCCCUGCUUUUGUGGGGUGCUCGAGUGGCGAACGGGUGAGUAACACGUGAGUAACCUGCCCUUGACUUUGGGAUAACUUCAGGAAACUGGGGCUAAUACCGGAUAGGAGCUCCUGCUGCAUGGUGGGGGUUGGAAAGUUUCGGCGGUUGGGGAUGGACUUGCGGCUUAUCAGCUUGUUGGUGGGGUAGUGGCUUACCAAGGCUUUGACGGGUAGCCGGCCUGAGAGGGUGACCGGCCACAUUGGGACUGAGAUACGGCCCAGACUCCUACGGGAGGCAGCAGUGGGGAAUAUUGCACAAUGGGCGGAAGCCUGAUGCAGCAACGCCGCGUGCGGGAUGACGGCCUUCGGGUUGUAACCCGCUUUCGCCUGUGACGAAGCGUGAGUGACGGUAAUGGGUAGAGAAGCACCGGCUAACUACGUG
rnacentral:rRNA from 1 species